UAAUACUUGGCAAUCCCACACAAGAAUAGCCUGUCUUUGGGAUGGAAAUCCAGUAAAAACCGAGAUGGAAGGGUAGAGUUUACGAUGGAGUCAGGCAUUUUAUCGUAUCGAAGCUGUGUAAAUAGAAUAACCUUUUCUUGAGAAGUGUACCUUGAGAUAUUGCAAUAAUAAAGAAUUACAGCGUUUAUACCAA